GUGGAAAUGAAGCUCCGAAACAGGAACAAGCCUUCAAAUGAGGGCGUAGUCCAGAUCCUAUAAACUUUAAAUCCAGAAUCCGCACCUUCUCUUCUAAUGUCUAGAACACCCACGCGAACAAUAUCACAGCUGCUUCUAACUCCAAGUCAGAGUUCUAUUUUGGUCGUCGAUAGAAAAUGUCAUCAACACCUUCUUUUAUUCGGUUUCCCACUUUCUGUAAGUUCUUGGCAACUCCCAACGCAACCAAAUUUGCGUUCCUGGUGAACCUGGUGAGGAAGUCAUUACCAGUUGAAUGAGUUGGUUUAUGUGAUCGAGGCUGCGGUACUCCAUUACUAUCUUCUCUCUUACGAGCAUGGCCAGGAGCUGCCUCAGCUGAACUAACCUUUCUAUCCACCAAGACCUCAAGGCCAGCACAGAGUGGCAAUUCUGUUUGAACCCCUUGCCCAUCAGCUGACCGAGCUUUCUGAUCAAGGUAAACAGAGUAACCAAUACAAGA
rnacentral:misc_RNA from 1 species